GGUUUCUGGAGAACAAGGUGAUAAAUAAAAUUAUUUCCUUACUCCAUACUCUAUGGCUAACAAAUUUAGAAGAUGAGAGAAAACAAGAAUCAAUCCCAGGAGAAUAGGAAACUUCUUCCUAUUCAGCUUGUAAAUGAACUUCUGUGUGUUUUGGUCGCGUUAAUCAAACAUAUUUGGUAAGUUCUUUGUUUUGUUUUUUGUUUUAGUUGGUUUGCAUUUCAUCCUCUGUCCAGUUUGAACUUUAUUAAGGUCAGGAGGCUUUCUUUAUCUCUGCUAGAUGGCAUUUUUCACCUCCAGUUUGUGUGUUGAGUAGUGAAUUUGGAUGGGAUUUCUUUGACAGGAGGAUUUAGGUGUUUGAAUACACGGGGAAUAAAGUAAAAUGUGAUGCCCAGUUGCUGUCAAAUCCUUCGUCCCUAAUUCCUGGCCAUUCUGACAGCAGGGAUUAAGAGCUGUAGUGAUGGUUUGCAUGGCACUCGUGUUUUCCUUUGCCAGGACUAAUGUAGAUCUGGCCAAGCUGAGUGGGUUGUUCAGCACCCUCAGCUCUGUGCUGCAAUACUGUGCUGUUGUUGUGGAGGCUUUUAGGGAGAUGAGGCAUUACACAGUUAAUGAGAGCGUCCUCUCCAGCAGGGAGCUGCUGCUGCUGCACACGUGGAGCCUUGUCAGCAAAGAGCUGCAGCUGCAGGAGGACCUGCGGGCCCUGGCUCAGAAGGACUGAAACAAAGAAUUGCUCAAAAAUAUUAAAGAACAAACCUCAAGCCUCAUCUCGUGUGUAUCGUCACACUCAGAAAAAGAACGGGGUGGAAGAAGAUGACCCUGCUGCAGACGUGGAAGUGCCUGAGCUGGAGAAAUGCAGAGAACAUCUGAAUUCCAUCCUUGCCCACUGGGACCCUGUUUUCCCAGCACCACCCUCCACACACGGAGGGGAGACCCUCAGAGCCGGUGAAGGUGGGGGUGAGGCAGUGGCUGUCACCUCUGCAUCUGUUCACAUUGUCACUGCGUGGCGUGAGGUCCCUGGCUGGGCAGAGCCCCUCGGGGAGCAGGACGUGUCCCCAGCACCGAGGUGGCUGCGGAACCGCGUCCUGCCACACCCGGCGGCCGCGCGGGAGAUGUUCAGGGAUGAGACACUGAGGAACAGCCUCUUCAAGCUUUGCACCCGCCCUGCCAGGCCAGCAGCACCUCGGCUGGGCUCUCCAGGCAGCUCGGUGGGCUCAGUUCCAUCGUGCUGCAGCUAAUGGAGGAGCAGGGCCUGUUCAGCACCUUCCACGAGCUUCUGACAUCUCUGUGCCUAUCAGCAGCGGUGGAAGAGGAUGCGGACAAGACAGCUGUUUCUGUAUUCCUGACUUCCAUUUACAUUGGAGACAUGUGGCUUGGAGCACAGGAGCCAGAUAUGUUACUUACUCAUGUCAGAUUGAUCUGCACUAGUGCAGAUUAUGAGUUACAGGGUGACUCAGACACUCGGAAACAAGGGGAAGAAACUGUUAUGUCUCUUUGCAAAACAAUUUGGCUCCAUCAGGGCAUUAAUUCAGGGAACUAACACUUCACCUUUAAUGUUCUUCUCUGCUCUGUCCUCAUCACCGUGAGAGCCUCCUGAGCUGUUUUCAUAUAGACCUACCUAGUUUUGUCAAAAAAAAUUAGUAUUUUAUUACUGGGUGCAAACUCGGGGGAAGAUUUUAUUCAACAUCUCACACUGGGGCAUUAAAGCUCCAAUGUCCCUUUUCUUGAACAGUUUGAGAGACAAUAUUACUUUACUGUAAGUUUUAUUACAGGCAUUUUUAUCUUUUUGAAGAACAAAAAAGAUUGUUUGUGCAUGUGUCUCAGCAGCGGGCCCAGCACAGCCCGGCAGGUUUGGAAUUUUCUUUGCUAUGCUGCAGGUGUAUUCAAGACAGCAUUCCUCUUUGUUUGACAGAAGGAAGACAAAAAAAUAAUUCUUAGCAAAAAAGGAUGCUUUCUUUCCUGUCUAUCAAGCAGCCAAAUACCACCAGCUAGCUAUCCAUAUUUUAAAAUCAGCUGGAGAACUUGCAUCCCAGGGACCUGGGGACUGUCUGAAGAGAGCUCUGGCCAGCUCUGUUAGCUGUUAAGCACCCCUGGAACAGCAGAGAAGAGGCUGGAAGAGUUCCAGUGCCCCAGUACCCAGAGACCCAUCUGGUCAGGGCAGGUCACUCUUAGGCAGUGCUGCGACUGACCUGGGCCCAGGCAAAAUCACAGAACUGGAGCUGAGCUAAGACACAACUGAAAAAGUCUUUCAAAGGACAGGGAAGCUAAUUCCAGACUCUGUGGGUUUGGACAAAGACAAGUGCAGUGACAAUGUCUGAUAUAAUUUUCUGAGGGAGGUGUGAUUGGAAGGAUGAAGGCAGCUGCACAUCUGUACUUUACUGUGAGGGUGCUCGUGCCCCACAUCCAAAUACUGAAUGGAGCUCCUCAUGGUAAGAGAUCUGUCUGGAGCCAGCAG